rnacentral:lncRNA from 1 species
CAACGGUUAGACACAGCUUUGUUUUCUUUCAGUAGGCUCGGGAGCUGGUCUUCUACACUCCUGCUGCUAGGAUGCCAUGUGUUACUAGAGAGAGGAUCUAUUACCAUUGCAUAGACGAAGACACCAAGCAACAGUGCAGCUAAAGAACUUGCUUGAUGAUUCACAUACAGUCAGGGCAAGACAGAGCUGGGACUCGAGGAGAUGCACAGUAAACACUUUGCAACAGGGCGCUAGAUUGCAAUUAAGAGGUCUUUUCUGAGAUCAGAGCUAGACUGGAGGCCAGCAAGAUCAAGCAAUCCUGUCUCUGCUCCCACAGACCUCCGGGGUCACAGGCAAGCAUAGGAUCAUGCUCAGUCCUUUCCCAGGAUUUGAACUCAGCUACUCAUGCUUGUGCAGCCUGCACUCUCCUGAAGGCCAUGUCCUCAACCCCUGAAUGGUUUCUUUCCAUCACGAGAUUAGCAAGGUUUAAUUUUUCCUUUGCUCCGAGCUAUAGACAUUUUGUCAAAUAAUGCCACCUGACUCAAGAGCUAUCAGACUCUAAAGUCUGUGUCUUCCCCAUCAAUCCCACAACAGUGAAUACAGUGUUGCUCAUGCAGUGAUGGCUGAGGCAGACCCUCCUGCUGCUGCUGUCCCUUCAGGAAUUCACUGUAAAAGGGUUUCACUGUACUUUGAAAGGCAAUUUGGAAUUCUUCACGACGAAGGUUCUGUAUAAAGGAGGU